UACGGGGGGAGCAAGCGUUGUUCGGAAUUACUGGGCGUAAAGGGCGCGUAGGCGGCCUUCUAAGUCAGACGUGAAAUCCCCCGGCUUAACCUGGGAACUGCGUCUGAUACUGGAUGGCUUGAGGUUGGGAGAGGGAUGCGGAAUUCCAGGUGUAGCGGUGAAAUGCGUAGAUAUCUGGAGGAACACCGGUGGCGAAGGCGGCAUCCUGGACCAAUUCUGACGCUGAGGAGCGAAAGCCAGGGGAGCAAACGGG
rnacentral:rRNA from 1 species